rnacentral:rRNA from 1 species
UACGAAGGGAUCUAGCGUUGUUCGGAUUUACUGGGCGUAAAGGGCGCGUAGGCGGUUAUGUAAGUAAGAUGUGAAAGCCCUGGGCUUAACCCGGGAACUGCAUUUUAAACUGCAUAGCUUGAGUGUUGGAGAGGUAAGUAGAAUUCCCAGUGUAGAGGUGAAAUUCGUAGAUAUUGGGAAGAAUACCAGUGGCGAAGGCGACUUACUGGACAACAACUGACGCUGAGGCGCGAAAGCGUGGGGAGCAAAC